CUGAUUUUGCAAGAAAAGGAGAAAAAUGCUGGGCAGAUCAAAAUAACUUGCCUCCUCGACCCAGUGGAAAGUUCCACCACGACAGAAGAUGAGAGUGUCUAAAUCAAGAGCAGGGGGUUGUUCUCAAUGCCAGGAAGUGGCAAACACUGAUGCUCUCCAGUUUCUUCUUCAAAACCUUCUUCAGCACAGAAUGCUAUCCUGAGGCUGGAAUGUUCCUCAAAAUCCAAGCAAGACUUCAUCUCUCACUGGCCUGAAGCUCGCCACCGUGUAGGCAAAGCCAGAGAGCCCCAGGGAUCUGCCUGUCUCUGCCUUUGGAGACCCUGGAGUUACAAAUCUCCCCCACCGUGACCAGCUGUUUUGUCUUUUAACUGUGGGUUCUGAGGGUUGCAAUUGGGUCCUCUUCUGUGCAAGGCCAACACUACUGACUGAACUACCUUCCCAGCCCUGCUAGCUAUCCCAAACACC